AAAUGUCAGAAAUCAGCCUGCUUACAAAAAAAGGCCAAAGACAAGAGGGUUGAAAAGGCGCACCUUUUCCUUGAUGAGUGUAAAGGAGGAAGAAGUAAGGAAGUAGUGGUAGAAUUAACAUGACUUCUGGAGAACUGAAAAGAGGAACAGGUUUUGAAGAGCUUUAAGAGGAGAGCUGGAAAAAGAAAAGUGAGAGCUGAAUGUCUCCCAUGAAACAAAAGACAAAAGUACGGACGGAGAGUGACACUGAAGAGGAGCUCAAACCCCUGUUAGUGCAGAAGAAUCAGCUUCAGCUUCCCCAAACAGCUGAUCGUACCACUCGGGCUGCAUGCCUGCAGAGUGAUAGUGUGGUUGGGAUUGAUUAAAAACAAGGAAUCUCGACCCAGAAAGAUGAAAGAAGAGAAGAAGGGUUUCCGGUACAGGUGCGGAUAUCGGAAUAAAAAACGUCACCUGACUUCCUCUGACUGGAUAGAAGGGAGCAGAGAGGAACAAGGUCAGCUUUUGGAGCAUUCACAGAGAGAGCAGAGAGAAACGGUGGCUGUACCAGUCAGGUGGAGGAAGAGGCUACUCUUAUUAUUCAAGCUGGACCGAGGUAUCUGAUCCGUCCUCAGUGACUUCUUGGCUUUCACAGUCACACCUUAUGCACAUGCAUCCUCAACCAGGAUUCAGACUACAGACCAGGACUAAUAAUCAGUUUAUACUUCUGGAUUGACUGCUCAAUAGAGACUUUAGAGCUUCUGAUUCUUUACCAGUUUUUGUUAUCUCUUAGUAACUCGUUAUUUUUGCAUGAGGGGGUGAAAAUCAUUUUGUCCUGCUUUAAUACUUGAUUGAAAAUGACACCAGAACCUUUUCACUACAUCUGCAGAGAUGGAGGUUCAAUUUAUUGAUUUCUGCAGACUUGAAUAAAGUUGCAAUCUACAUAUAAAUGGCUCAAAUGAGCUCAUGUUGAUGGUAAUUGGUAGAUUUCUAUGAAUUGACCAUUUGCUUGGUCACAUAGAAGU